GACGUAGGGUGCGAGCGUUGUCCGGAUUUAUUGGGCGUAAAGAGCUCGUAGGCGGCUCGUCGCGUCAGCUGUGAAAACCCGCGGCUUAACCGUGGGCUUGCAGCUGAUACGGGCGGGCUAGAGUUCGGUAGGGGAGACUGGAAUUCCUGGUGUAGCGGUGAAAUGCGCAGAUAUCAGGAGGAACACCGGUGGCGAAGGCGGGUCUCUGGGACGUUACUGACGCUGAGACGCGAAAGCGUGGGGAGCAAACAGG
rnacentral:rRNA from 1 species